rnacentral:lncRNA from 1 species
AAUCAUUCACGUUAGACUCAGUCAAAUAAUAAGAUGAUUGAUGGAGAUACAUCUACAUAAUUAAAAGAAAAUGAAAAAACAGAACAAUCUUAACCCAACUGCUGAACAAUACAAUAGACACGAUAAAACAUGUAUGAUUUGUACAGUUCAAAAAAAAAACAUGUAUGAUUUGUAGCUAAAGUAAGUUUUCGUCGUGAUCAGUCUCAUGACUUUUGAAAUGUGAGAUAAUAUUACCAUUGAUAUAUACUAAUAUCAACAUACAUUAUUCAUAUCCAGCCUUAUUUCAACAGCAACACUCCCUUAAAACAACACUUUAAGUUCAAAAGAACACACAAGACAUUCACUGGAUCAAAGACAAAAAGCACAUAGUCAUUGUCCUUGCCACUACUCUUAAUUAGCUAAGACCAC